rnacentral:rRNA from 2 species
CAAAAGUCUGAUCCAGCAAUUCUGUGUGCACGAUGACGGUCUUCGGAUUGUAAAGUGCUUUCAGUUGGGAAGAAAGAAAUGACGGUACCAACAGAAGAAGCGACGGCUAAAUACGUGCCAGCAGCCGCGGUAAUACGUAUGUCGCAAGCGUUAUCCGGAUUUAUUGGGCGUAAAGCGCGUCUAGGUGGUUUGAUAAGUCUGAUGUGAAAAUGCGGAGCUCAACUCCGUAUUGCGUUGGAAACUGCCAAACUAGAGUAUCGGAGAGGUGGGCGGAACUACAAGUGUAGAGGUGAAAUUCGUAGAUAUUUGUAGGAAUGCCGAUAGAGAAGUCAGCUCACUGGACGAAUACUGACACUGAAGCGCGAAAGCAUGGGGAGCAAACAGGAUUAGAUACCCUGGUAGUCC